CUUAUUCCGUAUCCGUUUCGUAAAAAUAUAUUUUUCGAGAUAUUUUCCUUUCGAAUAACGCGGUUAAUUUGUUUUCGUCACGUUCAGCGGAUGCCCGUGCCGCUAAAGUAUUGAGUUAUUAAUGAGGCCUUACAAGGUGGUCUUAGGCAAUCAGAUUUUUGUUCUUCGCGAUAACGUUUAAGACUUGAAUUUAAUUAAUGAAAAAUAGCGUUGAGCUGUUGACAAACGACAUUCAAGUUAAUAGUACGAGUAUUAUAAUGAUUUUUAUCGAAUCAAAUAAACGAAAUCGAAUUUAAUGAACUCUAAUUUCUCCGUUCUUCUCCCUUCGGAUUUUUCAAUUUUUAAUACACCAAUGCGGCAAAUUGU